UACGGAGGGUGCAAGCGUUAUUCGGAUUUACUGGGCGUAAAGCGCACGUAGGCGGUUUGAUAAGUCUGAUGUGAAAUCCCGGGGCUCAACCUCGGAAGUGCAUUGGAUACUGUUAAACUAGAGUAUUGGAGAGGAGAGCGGAAUUCCUGGUGUAGAGGUGAAAUUCGUAGAUAUCAGGAGGAACACCGGUGGCGAAGGCGGCUCUCUGGACAAUUACUGACGCUCAGGUGCGAAAGCGUGGGGAGCAAACAGG
rnacentral:misc_RNA from 1 species